GUCAGGGUCUCAAAAAGUAGAAUUUUAGAUUUAAUAAGGAUUUCUAAGAUUUCUUGCAAUCUAUCAAUUGGAUUAAAAUGAAAGUUAUGUAUGUAGGUAGUAGAUUUAUUUUUCUACAUAUAUGAGAAUUUUGAAUCAAUUAAAUUAUACAAAAGAGAGAUGUUAGCAUUCAAAGAGCAGCAUCAAGAUUGAAGAAGGAGGUUGGCCAACAUCCAAGUAGAUUUUAGGAUUUAGUUAGGAUUUGGUUUAGGAUUUAGGAUUUGAUUAGGAUUUGAUUUAAGAUUUAGGAUUUGAUUAGGAUUUGAUUUAGAAUUUAGGAUUUGAUU
rnacentral:lncRNA from 1 species